UCAGGUUAUUGAGCGAGCCGUAGACUUCAUCCAUCCCCUCUGUUUCCUCAAAACCGUAAUCCAUUAUGGCGUCGUCGGCCUGGACGUCUGCAGAACGCUUCGCCUUCUUGGACAUCUGCAUGGGCAGCGGCUGGACCAUGUCACCCGGAGGACCCUAAAACCACCAGAAGUUGUGUCCAAUUCCUCCCCGCCACUAGGGGGCUCCACAUUAAAGCUACUACUACCACUCAGUCAGGGGGGCCAAAGUCUAUCAUGUGUUUCUCCUGAACCAACCACAUGAUGCCAGCCAAUCAAACUGAUUGCUCACGCACCAUUGGGAGCGGCGCAACACACUCGGAGGACAGCGCUAUCCGCUCCCUCCGCUUGCAACCUCCGGCUGCGAGAGGUCAACCGGGAACCAAACCCGCGAUCUCCGGAUGAUAGGACAAGCACUUUUCCACUGCGCCACCAUGAGACCACAACUGCAUUAUUUUAUCAGAAUUUCUGAACUUCAAAAUAUAUUAGACUUACAGGCGCACCAGGAGGACCGAUCAACCCGGGUUCUCCCUUCUGACCCGCUGGACCCUAAAGAACACAUCGUUAUUUCAUAGAACAUAAAAACAU